rnacentral:rRNA from 1 species
GAUGAACGCUAGCGGCAGGCUUAAUACAUGCAAGUUGAGGGGCAGCAUGAUAUACGCGAGUAUAUUGAUGGCGACCGGCGGACGGGUGAGUAAUAGGUAGGAGACCUACCUCAUACAGGGGGAUAGCAUAGAGAAAUCUGUGGUAAUACCCCAUGAGGUUAUAUGAAUAGAGGCAUAUAAUCAAAGCAUAAGCGAUUAUGCGGUAUGAGAGGGGCCUACUGACCAUUAGCUAGUUGGUGAGGUAAGGGCUCACCAAGGCGAAGAUGGUUAGGGGUUUUGAGAGAGAGACCCCCCACAUUGGAACUGAGAGACGGUCCAGACUCCUACGGGAGGCAGCAGUAGGGAAUAUUGGGCAAUGGGCGAAAGCCUGACCCAGCCAUGCCGCGUGAAGGAAGACGGCCCUAUGGGUUGUAAACUUCUUUACUACGCGAAUAGAGGUUAGUACGAGAUACUAAUAGGAAGGUAGUGUAGUAAAAAGCAACCGGCUAACUCCGUG